UUAAGCUACUAAGAGCAUAGGGUGAAUGCCUUGGCACCAAGAGCCGAAGAAGGACGUGAUAAGCUGCGAAAAGCUAUGGGGAGGAGCAAAUAUCCUUUGAUCCAUAGAUAUCCGAAUGAGGGAACUCAGCUGGUGGAAAAAGACCAGUUAUCCAUACAUGAGUAAAGUAGUGUAUGUGAGGGGAACGUGGGGAACUGAAACAUCUAAGUACCCACAGGAAAAGAAAGAAAACUCGAUUCCUUGAGUAGUGGCGAGCGAAAGAGGAAGAGCCUAAACCAGAAGAAGUAAUUCAUCUGGGGUUAUGGACUACAUAAUUGAUUCAAGAGAUUUAGCAGAAUUGUUUGGGAAAGCAAACCAAAGAUAGUGAAAGUCUAGUAUGCGAAAAAUCAAUUGACAUGGUAGUAUCCAGAGUAGUGCGAGACACGGGAAAUCUCGUAUGAAUAUGGGGGGACCACCCCCUAAGGCUAAAUACUACUUGGUGACCGAUAGUGCAGUAGUACCGUGAGGGAAAGGUGAAAAGAACCCCGGGAGGGGAGUGAAAGAGAACCUGAAACCCUGUGUUUACAAGCAGAGAAAGCACGUUAAUGUGCGAUCUCGUACUUUUUGUAGAACGGUCCGGCGAGUUAUUUUAUAUGGCAAGGUUAAGUACUUAAGGUACGAAGCCGAAGAGAAAUCGAGUCUGAAUAGGGCGAUUAAGUCAUAUGAAAUAGACCCGAAACCGGGUGACCUAUCCAUGGUCAGGAUGAAGCUUGAGUAAAAUCAAGUGGAGGACCGAACCCAUAAGCGUUAAAAAGCUUCGGGAUGAACUGUGGAUAGCGGAGAAAUUCCAAUCGAACUCGGAGAUAGCUGGUUCUCCUCGAAAUAGUUUUAGGACUAGCCUUGUUUAGUAGCAUGUGGGGGUAGAGCACUGAAGGAGCUAGGGGCCAAACCAGGUUACCGAACUCUAUCAAACUCCGAAUACCAUGUGUGUAAGAACAGGAGUCAGACUGCGGGAGCUAAGUUCCGUGGUCAAAAGGGAAAGAGCCCAGAUCGUCAAUUAAGGUCCCAAAGAUAUAGUUAAGUGGAAAACGAUGUGAUUUUGCGUAAACAACCAGGAUGUUGGCUUAGAAGCAGCCAUUCAUUUAAAGAGUGCGUAAUAGCUCACUGGUCGAGUGAAGUUGCGCGGAAAAUUACCGGGGCUAAACUAUACACCGAAAUUGCGGGUUUAUACGUAAGUAUAAGCGGUAGAGGAGCAUUCUGUUGUAGGACGAAGGUAGACCGAAAGGACUGCUGGACGAAGCAGAAGAGAGAAUGCCGGAAUAAGUAGCGAGAGCAAGGUGAGAAUCCUUGCCGUCGAAAGUCUAAGGUUUCCUGGGGAAGGUUCGUCCGCCCAGGGUAAGUCGGGACCUAAGGUGAGGCCGAAAGGCGUAGCCGAUGGACAGCAGGUAGAAAUUCCUGCACCACCGAUAUACUUAAAAAAUGCAAGGGACACAGGAGUGGAAGAGAAGCGAGGAAGAGGAAAAACUCGUAUCGAAAGAUAUAGUGAAAAUAAAGUAACGAAUUCUCAAGAAGCACACUGGCGAGAAAAGCUUGUAGGUAUUGUAUAUAGGUACCCGUACCGCAAACCGACACAGGUAGAUGAGGAGAGGAUCCUAAGACGAGCGAGAGAAGCAUUGUUAAGGAACUCGGCAAAUUGACCCCGUAACUUAGGGAGAAGGGGUACCAGUGUAACAGCUGGUCGCAGAGAAUAGGCCCAAGCAACUGUUUAACAAAAACACAGGUUUCUGCUAAAUCGAAAGAUGAAGUAUAGGAGCUGACGCCUGCCCAGUGCUGGAAGGUUAAGGGGAAAGGUUAUGCCUUAAGGCGAAGCUUUGAACCAAAGCCCCAGUGAACGGCGGCCGUAACUAUAACGGUCCUAAGGUAGCGAAAUUCCUUGUCAGGNNGAAGAUGCUAGUUACCUGCGACAAGACAGAAAGACCCCAUGGAGCUUUACUGUAGCUUGAUACUGGGUUUCGAUAAUUUAUGUACAGGAUAGGUGGGAGACUAUGAAGCAUAGGCGUCAGCUUAUGUGGAGUCAACCUUGGGAUACCACCCUUAAGUUAUUGGAAUUCUAACCAUUAGUCGUAAACCGGCUAGGGGACAAUGUCAGGUGGGCAGUUUGACUGGGGCGGUCGCCUCCAAAAGAGUAACGGAGGCGCGCAAAGGUUUCCUCAGCACGGACAGAAAUCGCGCGAAAGAGUGCAAAGGCAGAAGGAAGCUUAACUGAAAGACAGACAUGUCGAGCAGAUACGAAAGUAGGUCUUAGUGAUCCGGCGGUAGUGAGUGGAAAUGCCGUCGCUCAACGGACAAAAGUUACCCUGGGGAUAACAGGCUUAUCUCCCCCAAGAGUUCACAUCGACGGGGAGGUUUGGCACCUCGAUGUCGGCUCAUC
rnacentral:rRNA from 1 species